GUCUACGACCAUACUAUCCUGAACGCGCCCAAUCUCAUCUCAUCUCAGAAGCUAAACAGGGUCAGGCCUGGUAAGUACUUGGAUGGGAGA
rnacentral:rRNA from 1 species